UCAUUAAGGGUCUUGUCAUAGUCUGUUUCAUAGGUGUCCCAAAGGAACUCACUAUGUGACUUAGAAAGUGGUUGAACCACCAACUUUCUCAAGACUUUGACACCCAACUCUCCCGGCUUGUCAAUAUGUGACUACAUCUCCAAGAUGUGACCACACCUAGACCUUGCCUUGCCAAUAGGGCCUGAGUGACCUUAAACUUUUCAAGAACUUGUGGGUUAGGGAGAAUAAUUUGAAGAGGUGAAGAAGUAUGAUAUCCAUGGGACAUCAUCUUCAUUAGGAAACCUUGUUUCAAGAGAUUUGGGAAGAUCAUAGGUGUCUAAACCAGACAUCUUUUGGGAGAUAUUCAAGAUAGUUGAUUUAAAGUCCUUAAUAUGACACCCAAUAUGAAAUAUUAAGGCUAGGACCCAACAAACUAUUUUAUAACUUAGAAGAGGUAUGCCGUAAUCCAAGCUAUAAAAUAUUUGAAGGUAGGUGAAUGACGAUUCACCAAUUUCCACCAAGAUAAACGAAAUGUAUUAUUAGGUUUUAAUUGGUUUUGAAACUCCUAGAUCUUUGAGAUUCAUUGAACUUUUCAAAGGCAUGUUUCAAUCUCGAGUGUGCCCUUCAGGUUUUGUGACUGGGAUGCCGAGGAUCACAAAACAAGGUGUGAAGUAACCAUGCAAAUCACUUGGUACCCUUAAUAAAUUACCCCUCAAUCGAUGUGCCGGUUAACCACACACGCUCCAUCGAUACUAUGAUAAAUAUUAAGUCACCCUUUACCUACCUUGUUAAGUCCAAGUUAGUGUGCCGGUUAACCACACACGCUCCACUAACGACUUAGACAAAGUGUAAAGUGUAAUUUCAUGGAUUAGCACCUUAUUCACAUUUUUCCUAAGUAACUAAGAUUGGGUAUUAUUAAGAGUUUAGUUACUUAGUAUUAUCAUUAAUACUUUUAAUGAAGGGAGAAUUCUAGUCCUGUCAAACCCGUUCGGCUAACGACCCUCCACCAGUCAAGCAAGCGGUGGGUGAGAGUGGACACCCAUUAAGUUGCCAUUUUAUAGGCAACAACCUUAUACCCACCUUAUAGACCGGCUUCGUGAAUGAGGCGUACUAGCGGUAAGACUGACUUUACUCUUAUACAUAUAUAUAUUAUUAACUUAUAAUAUUAUAAAGUAUAAGGGUUGAAUUUUAACUUUUAAAAUUCUAAGGGCUAACUUGGAAUUAAAGUAUUCAUACUUGAAAACUUUUCAAAUUCCAAAACUUGAGGGCAAGUUUUGAAACUAUUCAAAACUAAUUAAUUCCAUAACUUAUGUGUUUAAAGUAGUUUUAAUCCAAAAACUCUUCAAGUUCCAUAACUUGAGGACAAGUUAUGGAAGACUUUAAACUAAUAAAAGAACUAACUUUUUCUUUAUUUUAUAACUUAUGGAUUUAAUUAUGGUUACAUAUUUUUCUUUAAUGAAGUGACUCUUGAACUUCCAUAACUUGAGGACAAGUUAUGGAGUCAAAAAAAAUUAUUCAAUGACACAAGACUCUUCAUUUUGUAACCAUUGCCAACUCUUAUGAGUUUUAUGAGUCUUUAAUGUGACUCUUCAUGUAACUUGAGGACAAGUUACACAAACACAUUUUAUACUCAACUCUUAGAUUAAAAUGGAUUGAAAACAACUAUUUCACUCAACAUUUCUAUUAAUCUAAGCAACUCAUAAGAACAAGAUAAUUCAAAUCAAACUUUUUCAUGUAAUUAGUCUAAACCUUAAACUAAUACAAAACAUGAAUCUAUUGACAAUUAUCUUUGAAAAUGGAUUAGCAUGAACAUUACCACAUCAAAAACAAGUUUAUAAGUUCAAAAACAACUUAGGGUAAUGUUCCUAGUCCAUUUCUAGCCAAAAAACUCGAAAAUAUGCUGUCUGGGGGUCCAACUCGUCGAGUGCAUGAACAAACUCGGCGAGUUGGAUCGAAUUCAUCACUUUUUAGGCAUGGACUCGUCGAGUCUCCUGAUGGACUCGCCGAGUCUGAUGGCCAGACAGCACCAGAUUCGUUUUUUCAGCUUCUAUUGCAGGUAUAACAAGAAAACAAGCCUAGGCUCUGAUACCACUGUUGGGUUUUGAGCAUUCUAACACUCCUAAGUGUACAUGCAACCCUAAAUACCUUGGAUCUAUGUUUUCUCUAUUAUACAUGCAAAUAAGAACUUCCAAGGUAUUAUCCUAAUCUAGCAUACAAAACAAUAAUGUAACAAGAUAGAAUACAUACCUCUUGAUGUAGAAAGUCUUCAUGAAGCUUGAGUGCUUAGUGCCCCAAGUGUGACACCUCAAAUGGAAUCACAAUCAUCAAAACACUUAGAAUGACUUGAGAGAAUUCUACACUCACCAAAAUCGGCUAGCCCUUUCUUGAAUACUACUAGUGGCCGAUUUUUCCUCAAUAAUAAGAUGCUUAUAUAGUUACACAAUUAGGGUAAACUCUUAAUUGUCAUGGCUUUCCAUUUCCUUGGAUCCAUGGGUACAAAUACACCAUGGAGCAUCCAUGGACCAUCCUAUGGGUUUUAGCCCAACUUGAUUAUCCAUGGAGCAUUAGCCCACUAUACAAGUAUGGAUGAUUUACACAAUCAACCCAUAUAUUUAAUUAGUCUUCUUUUGAUCACUUAAUUAAUCCUAGAUUAAUUCUUGAUCAAUACUAAUUAAAUAAUCUUAUUAUUCUUAUUAUUAAUAUACUAGAACUUAUAAUAUAUUAAUAACCAUAAGUGUCUUAUUUCUCUCAUUAUAGUCUAUCCAAGUGCAUGAUGGUAUGCAACCCAAAUGGACCAUGCCGGGUCGGGUCAAGUCUUACCAAUUAUAGUUAUGGACUUAGACAUUAAUCCAACAGUCUCCCACUUGGAUAAGUCUAAAACUAUUAUUGCGUAUGACUUCAGGAACCAACUGGCAAUCGUAGCUCUCAAAAGCUUCUGUCGAACUCUGACCUUGUAGAUGAACUCUGACCUUUGUCAAUGACUUGUCCAUUAGAUAAGGGAUCAUAUAUUCCUCCAUUCUAGAUAUCAUAUGGACUGAGACAUGGAUUAUAAUCAUUCUCUCUGUCCAUUUGUUGUUUCCCGAUUUCCGAUUUAUGACGACUGACUAAUUGAACAAAUCAAAUCAGUCCUGGCCCGGCCGAGCACUUCCAUUUGUCAUCAUCAAAUCAUCGAGGGGCCCACAGAUAUCGCUUUUAUCCCGAAGGUAAAAGGAAUGGAUAAACUUCGACUCAUAUGGCUUGUUCUACUACUUGUUGAAUCAUACACAAAGGCACGUUUUAUAGCACCGAGUUACCAAAUGCGUUUUCGUGCAAUCAAUGUACUAUCAACUCAUAGUAACAACUCAUAUCUCUAGGUUUGAAGAAUAUAAGAUAUUAUCGUCUCAUGAUCACUCGUGAUAAAAUCCAUGAAGUGAUUCCAAUGAGCGCGGGUUGAAUCCAAUACUCAGAACUUAUGAGCACUCAUGAGUGUUGUAGCCCUUUGUCCAACACCUUAGACCUCUACAAGCCAACCCAUGACAGUCUUAAUUCAUAUCUACUUCCAACAUAUGACCGACUGUGGAUGGUUUGAAUAACUUAGUCAUUCCGGAAGAAUAACCCAGUUUAUUCGGGAAGUCAAAACAUGCAAAAUGAAACACAAUAAUAAUUGAAUCCAAUAUGGUAUCAACCCUUUGAACAUAAAUAAAACACCUUUUAUUUAUCACCAUAUGAUUACACAUUAUUCAUUGUAUACUGUUUCAGCUAUCAACUUUAUUCUUGAAUUUAAAACAAUAGUUGUCCCAUGCUCCAAGCAUGUACACUAUGUUUUCUUAAACACUAGUCAUGCCACACACCAAGUAUGCAUACUAUGUUUGUCUAUGAUCUUUACUUUGUGAACUAGAUCAAUUGAACAUAACUUCAAUGAUUCUCUUUUCACACUCCCAAAUCCUUACUGCAAAUGCAAGAAUUCCAAAUUCAUGCCAUUUACUGAAAUCUGUUAGAUUCUAAACUUAUAUGCAUUGAUCCUCUUGUAAUGAUUAUGCACAAAGUCACAAAGACUUGGCAACAAUCAUUACAGAGUAUUCCAAAGGAGAUCAACUCCUUGGAAAUAUCCUUCUUGCAUUAAGUUUCCUUAAUCUUACACAGAUUGAAAAUUCUAACUUUGAAACAUUUCCAGAUUCCAUUUUGACUAUCACUUCUGAACAAGAGUUGCCUCCUUACAGAUUAUGUCAAUAUGGUCCUUCCAGAAUUAUCACUAUACUUCCAAUUGUCCUUGAGCAACCAAUCUUUGGUAAACCUUAGAUUGUCCUCGACAAUUGUUUAAUCCUUUUAGUCAUAUCCAGUUCUAAACCUUUUCCCUUCUUAAUGCCCCAGGCAUUUGGAAAAUUUUAGAACGGAUGAAUAUAGCACAUGUAAUCGAUCCUAUAUCCGAAGCAUAUGGGACACGAUUCAUGAUGUCUCACAUAAAGACUAAACCAGUCUUUUGCUAUAAUAUUUCCAUUUCAAUUUGCCAAGUUCUCAUAAUUCAGAUUAUGAAAAGGGAUGCCGUAAUCAUAAUCGAAUUUUAGAACGCAAAUAAUGGACCCAUAUACAGAAUUUCCUUAUGUUGAGCCAUUCCAACAUGAAAUUCAUAUAUAUCCUUGACUAAAUGAUUAAAACCUCACGAUCUAAGCUUAUAGAUUUGAGAUGAAGCAUAAUUUCCUCUCCCUUAAUUAUAGCAAAACAACUUUUUCCCAAUUGAAACUUUUGUUUUCUAUAAUUAACAUUGCUAACUUGCAAUACUUAUCAUAAUUAUCAUGCUCCCACUAACAUGAUGAUUAUUAGCAUAACACUUAUGCUCCCACUAGCUUUGACAUGUACUCAGAAAUCAGCUGGACUUCUAGAAAUCAAUACUUCAUUGACUUUCUUACCAAAGUUCAGAUUUCUGAUACUAGAUUGUUUUGAUAAAACUUUAUCAAAAUCAUACACCUUCCCUUAGAUAGCACACUUGUGUGUCUAAACAAUUAUGAAGAGGUAUGCCGUAAUCAUAAUGGUUAGACCUUUUUGCCACUUCUCACAAGUCCAUGUUAGUGUGCCGGUUAACCACACGCGCUCCACUAACGACUUUGAGAAUGCAAAUAUCACAAUUGCUAUCUAGCUAAAAUCUACUUAGUGAAAGUGUUUCCUCACCAUCAUUUUCAUGAAUCGGAGAGAAACCUUAUGACACUUAGAUUUAAUGGUGUAUGUGUUCUUAUCCAUGUGAAUUGUCAAAACCAUAGUCACAAGACAAGGAUAAUGACAAAUCCAAACUCAUAUGGACUGAACUCAAUCUUAAUUUCUUGCCACCUGGCAGCUCAAGGGCCUGCCAUUGCUUCCAAGUUGUUGUGCAACAAAUUGAGAACUCUAAGAACUCAUAUGCAAAGCCAACUUUAACUGGAAUGGGCACAGAAUAUGUCAACACGAUAGGUUAUAAACCUCAAGUCGUGUGCUAGUGAAGAACUUCAGGUUUUAUUCUUGAUUAGUUCUUGAGACUUUCAAGACCUUUAAGACUCCCACUGUCCUCUUGACCUAUAAGACUCCCUUGUCAAAUAUCCAAGAGAUAGUGUGGAUUCUAAUCAAGACAAACACUUCACACAAUUGGCCUAAGUUGGUCUUUGUUUUAUCCAAAACAUCACAACUUACCAAUUUCAAAUGUACAAGAGUAGAAAACUUUUACUCUUACAUUUGACAAGUGUUUUAAACCUUCUUUAAGACAUGUCACUCAAGUUACAAUCUUGGAGUAUGACUCUAAGACUUGUAUUGGAACGAAGUAUGACUCAUCUUCUUGAUUUAACCAUUUCAACAAUUCAAGAUCCCUCUUCUUAGUCAUAAGAAUGCACUAAGAUUUCCUUAGAGAACUAAUUUUGAUAUGGUUUCUUAAUCAUUAAGAUGAUCACAAAAACUGAUACUAAAGUACUCUCCCAUCUUUUCAGAUUUGAGAAACUUUUAUCCUUCUGCCUAAUUUGAUUCUUCUUAUUCGCUCUGCCAUACAUUGGAACCUUUUCCAAUGUCUCAGAGUUACACUUAAGCUUGUAAGUAUAAUCAUAUUUACUGAGCUUUAGUAAACUAUGACGAAUAGUCUUAUCAAUCUUUUGUGGUGGACUUAAUCAGUGCACAAGACUAUGUACUCGAUCCCUUAGUCCAUUACUUGACUCACACAUCCAUGUGAAUAAGUAAUUAGUCUUAAUUUUCCAAAACUUGAAAGUUCUCAUUCAUCAUGCUAUACAACUUGCAUGAUUCCAAGUUUCGGUCCAAUUGAAACUUGGGUGAUGAGAAUCUUUCCUUAUUUGGUAAAUUUAGACAUUACCACAAAUGAAAGAAUCAAUUUCAUAUUUCCACUCUUGCUAUUAACGGAAUUAUAUAAGCAACAAUUUUUCCUCAAAUGCCAUUGUAAGGAUAUUUUAAAAUAAAAAAAAUCAAAAAUUUUCUUCUAUUUUAAAACUUUGCGAAAGAGAUAUCCUUACAAUCCAUAUGAAAACUUGUUGUUAUCUAUUCCUAAGCAAUAUCUCAUAACUCCUAAGAAGUAGCUUAAGAAUCCGAUCUUCAAAACUACGCGACAGAAAUCCAUCUAUGCAAUCAGAUUCAACAUAUUAUUUUCUUUAAGUUUCUUCACUUUUCCUUUGAUUCUUAAACCAUCACCAUGUGACCCAGUCACAUCAUGUAUCAAGAAUCUUAGAAUAGAACCUUAACAGAGUUAGAUAGUGGACUUUACCUGAAGUAGAGUCAAACUUAUUGACUUUAACAUCCUUAGGUAAAUUUGGCAGCUUCGCAACCAAUGCCCCUUUGUUUGGCAAUAUAAACAUAUGGACCCUUUGAUAAUGGUACACGGGACUAUCACAGACUUAGCUUUUCUCUUUACCAUUUGGUCAACCGAGUUGACUAUGGCCGAUCCCUUUCCAUUGGGAAGAGAAUGCUUUUCUGGAUUUCCUGUGUCACUAUUGUCAAUGUCCAUCAAGUUUUAAGGAAGUUGAUCUUAACAAAUAGAUAAGAUCAUUAAGGGUCUUGUCAUAGUCUGUUUCAUAGGUGUCCCAAAGGAACUCACUAUGUGACUUAGAAAGUGAUUGAACCACCAACUUUCUCAAGACUUUGACACCCAACUCUCCCGGCUUGUCAAUAUGUGACUACAUCUCCCAGAUGUGACCACACCUAGACCUUGCCUUGCCAGAUGGGCUUGAGUGACCUUGAACUUGUGGGUUAGAGAGAAUAACUGGAGAAGGUGAAAGAAGUAUGAUUUCCAUGGACAUCGUCUUCAUUUAGGAAAGCUUCUUUCAAGAGAUUUGGGAAGAUCAUAAAUGUCUAAACCAGACAUGUUUUUGGGAGAUAUUCAAGAUAGUUGAUCUUAAGUCCUUAAUAUGACACCCAAUAUGAAAUAUUAAGGCUAGGACCCAACAAACUAUUUUAUAACUUAGAAGAGGUAUGCCGUAAUCCAAGCUAUAAAAUAUUUGAAGGUAGGUGAAUGACGAUUCACCAAUUUCCACCAAGAUAAACGAAAUGUAUUAUUAGGUUUUAAUUGGUUUUGAAACUCCUAGAUCUUUGAGAUUCAUUGAACUUUUCAAAGGCAUGUUUCAAUCUCGAGUGUGCCCUUCAGGUUUUGUGACUGGGAUGCCGAGGAUCAC
rnacentral:lncRNA from 1 species